CACGUAGGGGCGAGCGUUGUCCGGAAUUACUGGGCGUAAAGGGCGUGUAGGCGGCCAUGUAUGUCAGGUGUGAAAAGCCACGGCUCAACCGGGGCACUGCAUAUGAAACUGCAUGGCUUGAGUGCAGGAGAGGGGAGUGGAAUUCCUAGUGUAGCGGUGAAAUGCGUAGAUAUUAGGAGGAACACCAGUGGCGAAGGCGACUUCCUGGACUGUAACUGACGCUGAGGCGCGAAAGCGUGGGUAGCAAACAGGAUUAGA
rnacentral:rRNA from 1 species